rnacentral:rRNA from 1 species
AGAGCGAACGCUGGCGGCAGGCCUAAUACAUGCAAGUCGAACGGAUCCUUCGGGAUUAGUGGCGGACGGGUGAGUAACACGUGGGAACGUGCCCUUUGGUUCGGAACAACUCAGGGAAACUUGAGCUAAUACCGGAUGUGCCCUUCGGGGGAAAGAUUUAUCGCCAUUGGAGCGGCCCGCGUCUGAUUAGCUAGUUGGUGGGGUAAAGGCCUACCAAGGCUACGAUCAGUAGCUGGUCUGAGAGGAUGAUCAGCCACACUGGGACUGAGACACGGCCCAGACUCCUACGGGAGGCAGCAGUAGGGAAUCUUGCGCAAUGGGCGAAAGCCUGACGCAGCCAUGCCGCGUGAAUGAUGAAGGUCUUAGGAUUGUAAAAUUCUUUCAGUGGGGACGAUAAUGACGGUACCACAGAAGAAGCCCCGGCUAACUUCGUGCCAGCAGCCGC